CUCUCGUGAAUUAAAAAGUUUCGUACCAUAGUCUGCGGUCUUUUAUUAAUUCAAAACAUUGGAGCUGUUGCUGACAUUUGUUCGGAGAUAUAAUUUCUUAAGAUAUUUUGCGGUAUGGAAAAAUAAAUUGUAAUAAUUUAAAAGGCAUAAGACUAACCGCUGAAACCAUUAAAAGUUUGUGAAGUGAGAGCAUGUUGAAAUCGUAAAGCUGAAUUUUUGCUAACAAACAUUGGUACAUAUUUUGCAUGUAUCAUUGUGAUGAUGCCUAUUCUUAAAUAAACAUCUUAACCAAACGAAAUGCGAAAAGAGUACAACUAAAAUGAACAGUAUGAAUGAAAAAAGUAAUAUUAACCCAGAUAUGGACAAAUCGACAUCUGCAAUGAAUGUAUAUCCAACACAGCCUUUAAACCAUGUUACAUCGAAACUUGAUUGUCUUGAAAUGCACUCCAUGUAUCCAGAUGUGCCGUAUGUAAAUCCAUACUGUAGUCCUCGAACUAAUCGUCGAAGGCCUCCAUUAAGAGAAUCUCGUCGGGUUUCAACGGAACAAUCUGGAAGUUUUUUACAAUUAAAUCAAUACAAACUUAUGGACCAAAUUGGUCAGGGUUCAUACGGGCUAGUUAAACUGGCUUACUCUGAAGAGGACUCAACCCAUUACGCAAUGAAAAUUCUCUCGAAACGUCGAUUAAUAAGACAAGCCGGAUUGGCGAAGCGUGGCCUAAUUAAACCAAUUUCACCAUUAGAGAGAGUUUAUAGAGAAAUUGCCGUGCUAAAGAAAUUAGAUCAUCCAAACGUUGUAAAGUUGUUUGAAGUGUUAGAUGAUCCAUUGGAAGACUCCUUAUAUAUGGUUUUUGAACUAGUAAAACAGGGAUGUGUUUUGACAAUCCCAACAGAUUCGCCGUUAGCUGAGGAUAAAGCUUGGAGUAUUUUUCGUGACACAGUACUUGGUUUGGAAUAUUUACACUAUCAACACAUUAUCCAUGGUGAUUUGAAACCCGAAAAUCUGUUGCUCACUGAAUGCGGGCGCAUUAAAAUUGCCGAUUUAGGGGUCUGUAACGAAUUUUUCGGUGAAGAUGCAAUGAUAAGUAGCGGGAGUACGGCAGGCACUCCAGCAUUUAGAGCACCAGAAUCACUAAAACUCGGUCGACAUUUAUUUUGUGGGAAAGCUGCCGACAUUUGGUCUUUGGGUGUGACCCUUUACGCUCUGGUCUAUGGAAACGUACCAUUUAUUGCAAAUUCUAUUCCAAUUUUAUAUGAAAAAAUUAAAUUAGACCCGCUUGUGCUCUUCGAAGAGCCAAAAAUUAGUGAACAACUUCAGGACUGCAUUCGUAGAAUGUUAGCAAAAAAUCCUGACUCCAGAAUUUCUUUACAGCAAUUAAAAGAACAUACUUGGAUAACUAAAGGUGGUUUGCAUCCAUUAGCAAAUGUGAGUGAGAACUGUGACUUGGUCAAGGUUAGUGAAGAAGACAUCAGUACAGUUGUGCAAAGUAUUCCAAAACUAGACACACUGAUUUUAAUUAAAACAAUGCUCAAAAAUCACUCCUUUGGAAAUCCGUAUGUUAGCGAAAUUUUGCAUGAGUCGCAUCCACGUGAUAUAACUCGUUAUGAACAAUUUUUUCGAGCUGGGCGCUCUAAUUCUGCUCCUGGGUCAUACACACAGCAAAAUAAUGGCAAACUUUAUCCACUUACAUACAUAUGUAUGUAGAUUAUGCCUUGUGAGCAGAAUGUAUAUAUUUUCAAAUAAACCGGAAUCUAAAUAUAGUCGAUGAGACUAUUUCUAAUACAGACUAAUUGUAUUUAUACGAGCUUAAAUAUGUAUAAUAAAAACUUAUAGAUUUUUAUUAACCUUUUCGAAUAUGCAGCGAAUUCUCUCUUCGUGGUCGCUAACCAGGCGAAUAAGUUUUUUACCGCUGAAUACAUUUUAUAUGAUAUAAUAUUAUAUACUUACUUGUAAUACUGCAUUGAUAAAUAAAUUGAUGGUGAUCCCAUUUACAUUAGAAAACAGCUAAUCGUACAGCCUUAUCUAAACCAUUCGUCGUAUAAGGAAAUACUGAAAUGCUUUUUAAAAAUCCUACUAUUAGCACCCCUACAAAAACACAGGAUUAUUACUUGUAGAUAACAACUAAUUUCAAAUAUAAUUAUUUUAUUAUCACUUAUAUAUCUAUAAAAAUCAUGGUCUGAUUUGGAAAUUCAGAAGAACAUUUAUUAAUAUGACAGGCAAUGGUUUGUACUGGAACAUUUCAGAUAUAGACUUCUCCAAGUUCUAUUGCCUCAGCUCCCACUACAGCAUUCUCCAAAAUUAAUUGUGGGAUAUUAUAUGGACAACAAUAAUGGGUAGAAUAUUCCGAUGUUUGAUCAAUUUGACAUGGAUGAUUAUGAAAAACUACCAUCACUUACGGAACCAGAAUUUGAAAAUCUUAUACAUUAAUGACAACUCUAAUUAUUACAUAUGCACAUAUAAAAAGUUGUGUUGUACACAUUUAGAACUUUUUGAUCCAAACUUAAACACAUUAACAAUGCAAAUGUGAGAAAGUAGCUUAUUGUGAUUUUUUACAAUAAAUUAUUACUAUCCCAUAAUUCAUUUUUUAAGUCUAAUAAAAAUGCAGGUCAAUUUAUAAUUGGUGCGGUACACCAGAUA
rnacentral:misc_RNA from 1 species